CGGCCGCUAGGAUCAAUCUCAAAGGAAUUGACGCGGGCCCGCACAAGAGGUGGAGCAUGUCGUUUAAUUCGAUGCAACGCGAAGAACCUUACCUACUCUUGACAUCCGGGGGGGUUAGCAGAGAUGCUUUGGUGCCCUCGGGAACUCUGAGACAGGAGAAACAUGGCUGUCGUCAGCUCGUGUUGUGAAAUGUUGGGUUAAGUCCCGCAACGAGCGCAACCCUUAUCCUUUGUUGCCAGCGAUUCGGUCGGGAACUCAAAGGAGACUGCCGGUGAUAAACCGGAGGAAGGUGGGGAUGACGUCAAGUCAUCAUGGCCCUUACGAGUAGGGCUACACACGUGCUACAAUGGCGUAUACAAAGAGAAGCGACCUCGCGAGAGCAAGCGGAACUCAUAAAGUACGUCGUAGUCCGGAUUGGAGUCUGCAACUCGACUCCAUGAAGUCGGAAUCGCUAGUAAUCGUAGAUCAGAAUGCUACGGUGAAUACGUUCCCGGGCCUUGUACACACCGCCCGUAACACCAUGGGAGUGGGUUGCAAAAGAAGUAGGUAGCUUAACCUUCGGGAGGGU
rnacentral:rRNA from 1 species